rnacentral:rRNA from 1 species
UACGGGGGGGGCAAGCGUUGUUCGGAAUUACUGGGCGUAAAGGGCUCGUAGGCGGCCAACUAAGUCAGACGUGAAAUCCCUCGGCUUAACCGGGGAACUGCAUCUGAUACUGGAUGGCUUGAGUUCGGGAGAGGGAUGCGGAAUUCCAGGUGUAGCGGUGAAAUGCGUAGAUAUCAAGAGGAACACCAGUGGCGAAGGCGGGUCCCUGGACAACACCUGACACUGAGGCACGAAAGCUAGGGGAGCAAACAGG